AGCAGCAACAAUCCUGUUGCGCCUAUCAAUCCCCGAGAGGUGUCAGUUUCGGGACCCUAUCCGAAAACGGUAGAUGUACGUCUGGUUGGUACUCCGGGUGUGACGGUGAAGAUAGUUCUUGAACCAACAUCAUAUGGUCAACCUAAACUUGAUGAAGUAGAGAUUGAUGCUUGCUUCACAUCAGUGACAACAACUACAAGUGUAACGACAACCGCAUUGCCUACAACAACCACUGCUCCAGAAACUACGACUACCACGACAUCGACAACAACUGUACCAACAACAACGACCAUACCGACAACUACAGAAUCAACGACUCCCGAGGGAACGACAUCUACAACUACGGCUACCACUAGCACAACCACGUCUACGACCACUCAUAGCACAACGACAG